ACCAGCCGACCUCGGAGAGGGGUUCGUCCUCGCCGAGGUCGAGCUCUACGGUGAUGUCGUCCUGCGCUACAUUAGCCACCCGGACGACACCACCACCUUCCUCCCAGGUUUCCAGAACCUGCCCCCUCCUGAUACCGAAUUCAGUUUCGGGAUCAGGCGGCUGGACCAUGCUGUAGGCAACGUAUCCGAUCUAGCAUCGGCUGUUGCCUAUGUGGCGGGGUUCACCGGGUUCCACCCGUUCGCCGAGUUCACCGCUGACGAUGUGGGGACGGCGGAGAGCGGGUUGAACUCGGUGGUGCUGGCGAACAAUGAUGAGACUGUGCUGAUCCCGAUGAAUGAGCCGGUGCAUGGGACUGUCCGGCGGAGUCAGAUUCAGACUUAUUUGGAUCAUAAUGGUGGUGCUGGAGUGCAGCAUCUGGCGCUUGCAAGUGGGGAUGUGUUUCGGACGUUGCGGGAGAUGAGGCGGCGGUCGGCGGAGGGGGGAUUUGAUUUUAUGCCGGCACCACCGCCGACUUAUUAUAAGAAUUUGGGGCGGCGGGUGGGGGAUGUGCUGACAGUGGAGCAGAUUAAGGAGUGUGAGGAGCUGGGGUUGCUGGUGGACAGGGAUGAUCAGGGAGUGUUGCUGCAGAUCUUCACCAAGCCAGUUGGUGACAGGCCUACAAUAUUCUUGGAGAUCAUACAGAGGAUUGGAUGCAUGGCAAAGGAUGAGAAAGGAAGAGACUACCAGAAGGGUGGAUGCGGAGGGUUUGGG
rnacentral:misc_RNA from 1 species